UACGUAGGGUGCAAGCGUUAUUCGGAAUUACUGGGCGUAAAGCGUGCGCAGGCGGCUUUGCAAGACAGAUGUGAAAUCCCCGGGCUUAACCUGGGAACUGCAUUUGUGACUGCAUGGCUGGAGUGCGGCAGAGGGGGAUGGAAUUCCGCGUGUAGCAGUGAAAUACGUAGAUAUGCGGAGGAACACCGAUGGCGAAGGCAAUCCCCUGGGCCUGCACUGACGCUCAUGCACGAAAGCGUGGGGAGCAAACAGG
rnacentral:rRNA from 1 species